CUGAAAAUCAGAUAAUGAAGUUCAAGAUCAGCAAGGCUUGCGAUCUGAGCUCCAUUUCUGUCCUUCCACCACAUUCUAGGAGAGGAAAUGUAAUCCCACCAGGAGCAGAUACUUCAGUUUUUGGUAAAAGCCAAGGUUCUUCGUAGUUCCGGUUGCAUUCGCAACAGUCAUUUUCACAGGGCAUGUCAAUGUCUCAGCUCUCACGGAAUUCUCAAGAGGAAAUUGUGACAAAUGAACAUGGUUGUGCUAGGAAUCCUAAUCAUGCAUUCAUGGGGCUUGUCAGCAAGGGUCUUGAGCUAUGGAUAUAUUAGGUAUGAAAACUGCACUUUCUAAAAACUGAUUCUUUUCUGAUUUUCUGGCAAAAUAUUGCAAAAACUGGUGCAGAACUCAAGGUACCUGUCAUCCUUGAUCCCUACUCUGAUUGAUUGUCUGUUUGCUGAGUUUGGAGUUCCCAAAGCACCAAUUCACACAGGGAACAAUGUAGUAAACAGUUCCACUGAAAUUCUUGUUCC